rnacentral:rRNA from 1 species
GUGUCAGCAGCCGCGGUAAUACGUAGGGGGCAAGCGUUGUCCGGAAUCAUUGGGCGUAAAGAGCGUGUAGGCGGUCCGGUUAGUCGGCUGUGAAAGUCAAGGGCUCAACCCUUGAAUGCCGGUCGAUACUGCCGGACUAGAGUCCGGAAGAGGCAAGUGGAAUUCCCGGUGUAGCGGUGAAAUGCGCAGAUAUCGGGAGGAACACCUAUGGCGAAGGCAGCUUGCUGGGACGGUACUGACGCUGAGACGCGAAAGCGUGGGGAGCAAACAGGAUUAGAAACCCCGGUAGUCC